AGUGAACGCUGGCGGUAGGCCUAACACAUGCAAGUCGAACGGCAGCACAGUAAGAGCUUGCUCUUACGGGUGGCGAGUGGCGGACGGGUGAGGAAUACAUCGGAAUCUACUUUUUCGUGGGGGAUAACGUAGGGAAACUUACGCUAAUACAGCAUACGACCUACGGGUGAAAGCAGGGGAUCUUCGGACCUUGCGCGAUUGAAUGAGCCGAUGUCGGAUUAGCUAGUUGGCGGGGUAAAGGCCCACCAAGGCGACGAUCCGUAGCUGGUCUGAGAGGAUGAUCAGCCACACUGGAACUGAGCCACGGUCCAGACCCCUACGAGAGGCAGCAGUGGGGAAUAUUGGACAAUGGGCGCAACCCUGAUCCAGCCAUACCGCGUGGGUGAAGAAGGCCUUCGGGUUGUAAAGCCCUUUUGUUGGGAAAGAAAAGCAGCAGGUUAAUACCCCGCUGUUCUGACGGUACCCAAAGAAUAAGCACCGGCUAACUUCGUG
rnacentral:rRNA from 1 species